UCCUCAUCCUUUUCAGGAGAGAGUAGUUGGUUUAAGUACUUGGGCUAUCAUGUUCCAUGAGGCCUGCUGUUUCAGAAGGAAGGCCCAGACCCUCUGGCCCUGUUGACUCCUCCACUUGACACAGGGAGCUUGCUGUCUGAGAUGAAAGAUCUGGGCAGCCCAAUCGCUGUCACAGAAUCUUAUACACAGAGAAUACUGGGGAGUGUGGAUGGUUUUGCAGAGCUGUUCCCCAACGAACAAGAAGAGAUGGAGAAACUGGUAGCUGGGGAUGUGUCUUCCAGCAUGGCUGUCUUGCUCUCUGGACCCCUUCUCACCCAAGACAUCAGUAUCAGCGAGGUGAGUGCAUUUCCUUACAAUGCC